rnacentral:rRNA from 1 species
CCUACGGGAGGCUGCAGUGGGGAAUAUUGCACAAUGGGGGAGACCCUGAUGCAGCGACGCCGCGUGAGUGAAGAAGUAUCUCGGUACGUAAAGCUCUAUCAGCAGGGAAGAAAAUGACGGUACCUGACUAUGAAGCCGCGGCUAACUACGUGCCAGCAGCCGCGGUACUACGUAGGGGGCAAGCGUUAUCCGGAUUUACUGGGUGUUAAGGGAGCGUAGACGGCAGCACAAGUCUGGAGUGAAAUCCCCGGGGCUAACCCCGGAACUGCUUUUGAAACUGUGUGGCUUGAGUGCAGGAGGGGUAAGCGGAAUGCGUAGUGUAGCGGUGAAAUGCGUAGAUAUUAGGAGGAACACCGGUGGCGAAGGCGGCAUACUGGACUGUAACUGACGUUGAGGCUCGAAAGCGUGGGUAGCAAACAGGAUUAGAUACCCGUGUAGUC